UACGUAGGGUGCAAGCGUUGUCCGGAAUUAUUGGGCGUAAAGAGCUUGUAGGCGGUUUGUCGCGUCUGCUGUGAAAUUUCGGGGCUCAACCCCGAACUUGCAGUGGGUACGGGCAGACUAGAGUGUGGUAGGGGAGACUGGAAUUCCCGGUGUAGCGGUGGAAUGCGUAGAGAUCGGGAAGAACAUCAGUGGCGAAGGCGGCCUGCUGGGCUGUUGCUGACGCUGAGGCGCGACAGCGUGGGGAGCAAACAGG
rnacentral:rRNA from 1 species